rnacentral:lncRNA from 1 species
UAAGACAUCUUCUAAGCGUAUGACAGCAUUUAAAACACUAUGAAAUGCUCUGCUAACAGUUUCCCUGGACCUUUUAAAGUGAUGCUUGAUAACUCGAUUUUUCAGGUGAUGGGAGAUGAUAUGUAAAAACAUUGCUACUUGCUCAUCAACAAGCAUGUUUCUUGACGACUUCAAUCCCCCUAUCGAUUCUAACAUCUCACAUAGUUUAAAAAAGGCAG